rnacentral:tRNA from 1 species
GUUGAUGAAUUGCCACCAAUGCACGACUCAAAAUCGUGUUCCCUUGUGGAGUGUGGGUUCGACUCCCACCAUCGGCA